GGUCACUGCUAUCGGUGUUCGAUUAAGCCAUGCGAGUCGUGAGGUAACUCGGCGGAGUGCUCAGUAACACGUGGACAACCUACCCAAGAGUCAGGGAUAACCCCGGGAAACUGGGGAUAAUACCUGAUAGGCCAUGACAUCUGGAAUCAGUUGUGGUUUAAACGUAAGGCUCUUGGAUGGGUCUGCGGCGGAUUAGGUUGUUGCCGGUGUGACGUACCAGCAAGCCUGUAAUCCGUACGGGUUGUGGGAGCAAGAGCCCGGAGAUGGAUUCUGAGACACGAAUCCAGGCCCUACGGGGCGCAGCAGGCGCGAAAACUCUACAAUGCAAGCAACUGCGAUAGGGGAACAUCGAGUGGCAUCCACCAUGGAUGUCUGUCCAAUCGUCUAAAAAACGAUGUCAGCAAGGGCCGGGCAAGACCGGUGCCAGCCGCCGCGGUAAUACCGGCGGCUCGAGUGGUGGCCGAUAUUAUUGAGUCUAAAGGGUCCGUAGCCGGCUUUGCAAGUCCUAUGGGAAAUCCAGCGGCUUAACCGUUGGGCUUUCAUGGGGUACUACAUUGCUUGGGACUGGGAGAGGUAGGAGGUACUCAGGGGGUAGGGGUGAAAUCCUGUAAUCCUUUGGGGACCACCGGUGGCGAAGGCGUCCUACCAGAACAGGUCCGACGGUGAGGGACGAAAGCUAGGGGCACGAACCGGAUUAGAUACCCGGGUAGUCCUAGCCGUAAACGAUGCUCGCUAGGUGUCACGGCAGUCGUGAACUGUCGUGGUGCCGUAGGGAAGCCGUGAAGCGAGCCACCUGGGAAGUACGACCGCAAGGUUGAAACUUAA
rnacentral:rRNA from 1 species